UACGUAGGGUGCAAGCGUUGUUCGGAUUUACUGGGCGUAAAGAGCGCGCAGGCGGUCGUUCAAGUCGAGUGUGAAAGCCCCCGGCUCAACUGGGGAGGGUCAUUCGAUACUGAUCGACUCGAAGGCAGGAGAGGGUAGUGGAAUUCCCGGUGUAGUGGUGAAAUGCGUAGAUAUCGGGAGGAACACCAGUGGCGAAGGCGACUACCUGGCCUGUUCUGACGCUGAGGCGCGAA
rnacentral:rRNA from 1 species